rnacentral:lncRNA from 1 species
GGCUGCACAACCAUCUCUGGACCCUGGAUCACUGAGACAUGCAUGUUGGCAACUUUUUCCACAGAGCACAUGGACAUUUUCUUUUUCAUAGAUGUACAUUUGAAGGAUGAAAAAGUGGGUGUGAGGAGGAGGGUGAUAUGCAGGGUUGUGGGUGGGUGAGGGGACACACAAGUCUUCAGAUGGCCACAUUGUGUGCUCCUGGCUCUCUGGACAGCAAACCUGGGGUGCUGGGCAAGGAAACACUCAAGUGGGACAACUAGAUUCCAAACCUCACUACGGCACCAUGAAGGGGGGCUAUGAAGCUUUGGAGGCCCAUGCCUUCUGGCGUCAUCUGGUUCCUCCUCCUAGAGUAGGAGACAGACAUCACACACAGGUUCUCAUGAAUAUGAAAAGCAUUUUUUUUAAGAGAUAGGGAAACACUUGACACUGGUAUGGAACACUUCUACACUGAUGUAGGUCAGAUUCAAGGCCAGAGAAACCAAGGUAAGAAGCCAAAAACCCCUGGGGUGGGGAGGCCCAGUGAGUGAACUGGACACAAGAAAAAAUUAAACAUAAACCACCAGAGGAGCCAGUAACUCAGCAAAGCUUCCAAAGCUUGGAAUGGGAAGACUUCCCUGGUCUUUGAGGCAAUGACGGGAAAAUUGAGGUGCUUGAUUAUGCUUCUAGUUCGUUUUUUAACAUUAAAACAUCUUUAAAGAAUAAUUUAUGCAUUUAUUUUUGGAACUGAUGAAUGAAUAGACCUCACUUUCUUAAUACCCAAGAUUAUCGCUGAAGCACUGUGCCUAAUUAGACACUCCCUUAAUUAGGCUUAAAAACCUGAGAAUGAACCCAACCUAGGGAAGGUGCCUGGCUUUUGUCUCCUAGAAAUGAUGGAGCAGGGAUCUGCCCAGGAGGCAUAAGGCUUAGCGCUUCCAGAUGCUUGUGGGACAGGAAGAUGCAGAGCACCAGCCCAGGCAGGCGGCAUACCUUCCGCAUGGCUCAUCUCUCUUUUCCUCCUUCCGGCUCGUGACACCAGAUUCUGGAUACAUAAAAGAAACUCAGGUUUCCUCCAGUAUAUUCUUCAAUUGUGAGAAACAAAGGGGAUGCCAUUCUUUGGAGCAGCAUCUGCCAGAAUAUUGCUCAAGGCAGAAAUCUUAAUGCAGCAACAGGUUUUUCCACCCUGUGCAAUCUUAGGGAGCUGUGGCCCAAGGGUAGCUGUAAAGCCCACAUGUCAGAAUAAUUUAGAUUGUGAUGGACUCAGUAAACAAACACACAGUGAACCAAAUACACCCAGGGCACUUGAACUCUGACCUACAGAGACAGAGAACUGUGUGUCCUCCGCAGUGACCAGCUCUAAACAUCGGGACUUACUCAGUGGCUGACAACUUCCUUAGUUUUGUCUCCCAAACCUGAACAAACCAGAGAACACCAAGUAUGCUUCCUAAACUGAUCAUAUAAAAUGACCCAUUUCUAAUCGUUCUCCUUCCAACCAAAUGUGCUCCUCCAAAUCGGUCACAGAAGUGCUCCAAUUCUUCCUCCUCCAGCUUCCCUGGGAGAAACACCUCCAGCUGGGGCAAGCUCAAGUGCCCUGACACAGAGCUGCUUCUCGCCACCUUUGAUUGCCUCCUCUUGAUUCACAUUCUCAAUCUCUAGCCAGCUUGUUCUCUUGCAGUGGUCUUCAUUCAUUCCCACGUGAGUGAUGAUUCUGUGAAGCAUCAUGAUUAACUAUGCUGUAUACAUUUGGAAACUCUAGGCCCCGGGUUUAAGAGGGAAGAACUACUUCAACAGAUACAAAUAAAAAUUAUAAUAAAUUAAUACUUAAAAACGUUUCUUUGUGCUGCUAUCUAGAAAAGUUAUCAAUUUAAU